GAUGAACGCUGGCGGCGUGCCUAAUACAUGCAAGUCGAGCGAACGGACGAGAAGCUUGCUUCUCUGAUGUUAGCGGCGGACGGGUGAGUAACACGUGGAUAACCUACCUAUAAGACUGGGAUAACUUCGAGAAACCGGAGCUAAUACCGGAUAAUAUUUUGAACCGCAUGGCUCAAAAGUGAAAGACGGUCUUGCUGUCACUUAUAGAUGGAUCCGCGCUGCAUUAGCUAGUUGGUAAGGUAACGGUUUACCAAGGCAACGAUGCAUAGCCGACCGGAGAGGGUGAUCGGCCACACUGGAACUGAGACCCGGCCCAGACUCCUACGGGAGGCACCAGAAGGGAAUCUUCCGCAAUGGGCGAAGGCCUGACGGAGAAACGCGGCGUGAGUGAUGAAGGUCUUCGGAUCGGAAAACUCUGUUAUUAGGGAAAAACAGUUGUGUAAGUAACUGUGCACAUCUUGACGGUACCUAAUCAGAAAGCCACGGCUAACUACGUG
rnacentral:rRNA from 1 species